CACCUCUCAGGCUCGCAACUGGAGAGUUUCCAGUACUCUACCAGUCUCGGCUAAGGGAAGAAGAGUCAAGCAGAGGUAUACCCAUUCCAUUCCUAGCUUGGUCUGUGGCUAGGAAGUGGAAGGCAAUCUGCUACAAGU